rnacentral:rRNA from 1 species
UACGGAGGAUGCAAGCGUUAUCCGGAAUCAUUGGGCGUAAAGGGUCCUGAGGUGGUUUGCUAAGUCUACUGUGAAAGAUCAGGGCUCAACCCUGAAGAUGCGGUGGAAACUGGCAGGCUAGAAUACGGUAGGGGCAGGGGGAAUUCCCGGUGUAGCGGUGAAAUGCAUAGAUAUCGGGAAGAACACCAAAGGCGAAGGCACCCUGCUGGGCCGAUAUUGACACUGACAGACGAAAGCUAGGGGAGCGAAUGGG